GCCUGGGUGGCUCAGUCGGUUGAGCAUCUGACUUUGGCUCAGGUCAUGAUCUCGUGGUCUGUGAGUUCGAGCCCCGCAUGGGGCU
rnacentral:tRNA from 1 species